AUUGAACGCUGGCGGCAGGCCUAACACAUGCAAGUCGAGCGAGCGGCGGACGGGUGAGUAAUGUAUGGGGACUGCCCGAUAGAGGGGGAUAACUACUGGAAACGGUGGCUAAUACCGCAUACUAUCGGAUAACCCAUAUGGGAUUAGCUAGGAGGUGGGGUAAAGGCUCACCUAGGCAAGGAUCUCUAGCUGGUCUGAGAGGAUGAUCAGCGAAAUGGGGACUGAGAAACGGCCAAGAUCACUACGGAGGGAGCAGUGGGGAAUAUGGAACAAUGGGCGCAAGCUUGACGCAGCCAUGCCGCGUGUAUGAAGAAGGCCUUAGGGUUGUAAAGUACUUUCAGCGGGGAGGCGUUACCCGAAGAAGAAGAACCGGCUAACUCCGUGCCAGCAGCGGCGGUAAUA
rnacentral:rRNA from 1 species